GGAGGACCGAACCCACUAGGGUUGAAAACCUGGGGGAUGACCUGUGGUUAGGGGUGAAAGGCCAAUCAAACUCCGUGAUAGCUGGUUCUCCCCGAAAUGCAUUUAGGUGCAGCGUCGUGUGUUUCUUGCCGGAGGUAGAGCACUGGAUAGGCGAUGGGCCCUACCGGGUUACUGACCUUAGCCAAACUCCGAAUGCCGGUAAGUGAGAGCGCGGCAGUGAGACUGUGGGGGAUAAGCUCCAUGGUCGAGAGGGAAACAGCCCAGAGCAUCGACUAAGGCCCCUAAGCGUACGCUAAGUGGGAAAGGAUGUGGAG
rnacentral:ncRNA from 1 species